UACGUAGGUGGCAAGCGUUGUCCGGAUUUAUUGGGUUUAAAGGGUGCGUAGGCGGCUUAUUAAGUCAGUGGUGAAAUACUCUAGCUCAACUAGAGGGGUGCCAUUGAUACUGAUGAGCUUGAGUACAGAUGAGGUAGGCGGAAUUGACGGUGUAGCGGUGAAAUGCUUAGAUAUCGUCAGGAACACCUAUAGCGAAGGCAGCUUACUAGGCUGUAACUGACGCUGAGGCACGAAAGUGUGGGGAUCAAACAGG
rnacentral:rRNA from 1 species